CGGCGGAACACGUGAAAUUCCGUCGGAAUCCGGGAGGACCAUCUCCCAAGGCUAAAUACUCCCUAGUGACCGAUAGUGAACCAGUACCGUGAGGGAAAGGUGAAAAGCACCCCGGAAGGGGAGUGAAACAGUUCCUGAAACCGUGUGCCUACAAGUAGUUAGAGCCCGUUAAUGGGUGAUAGCGUGCCUUUUGUAGAAUGAACCGGCGAGUUACGAUUUGUUGCAAGGUUAAGCGGAAAAAGCGGAGCCGUAGCGAAAGCGAGUCUGAAUAGGGCGCAUAAGUAACAGGUCGUAGACCCGAAACCAGGUGAUCUACCCAUGUCCAGGAUGAAGGUAAGGUAAUACUUACUGGAGGUCCGAACCCACGCACGUUGAAAAGUGCGGGGAUGAGGUGUGGGUAGCGGAGAAAUUCCAAUCGAACUUGGAGAUAGCUGGUUCUCUCCGAAAUAGCUUUAGGGCUAGCCUCGAGGUAAAGAGUCAUGGAGGUAGAGCACUGUUUGGACUAGGGGCCCUUCUCGGGUUACCGAAUUCAGAUAAACUCCGAAUGCCAUGUACUUAUACUCGGGAGUCAGACUGCGAGUGAUAAGAUCCGUAGUCGAAAGGGAAACAGCCCAGACCACCAGUUAAGGUCCCCAAAUAUAUGUUAAGUGGAAAAGGAUGUGGGGUUGCUUAGACAACCAGGAUGUUGGCUUAGAAGCAGCCACCAUUGAAAGAGUGCGUAAUAGCUCACUGGUCGAGUGACCCCGCGCCGAAAAUGUACCGGGGCUAAACAUAUUACCGAAACUGUGGAUGAACCUCUUUAGAGGUUCGUGGUAGGAGAGCGUUCUAAGGGCGGUGAAGUCAGACCGGAAGGACUGGUGGAGCGCUUAGAAGUGAGAAUGCCGGUAUGAGUAGCGAAAGAAGGGUGAGAAUCCCUUCCACCGAAUAUCUAAGGUUUCCUGAGGAAGGCUCGUCCGCUCAGGGUUAGUCGGGACCUAAGCCGAGGCCGAUAGGCGUAGGCGAUGGACAACAGGUAGAGAUUCCUGUACCAGUGCUAAUUGUUUAACCGAUGGGGUGACACAGAAGGAUAGGGAAUCGCACGAAUGGAAAUGUGCGUCCAAGCAGUGAGUGUGAGAAGUAGGCAAAUCCGCUUCUCGCGAAGCAUGAGCUGUGAUGGGGAAGGAAAUUAAGUACGGAAGUUCCUGAUUUCACGCUGUCAAGAAAAGCCUCUAGGAAGAGUAGUACUGCCCGUACCGCAAACCGACACAGGUAGAUGAGGAGAGAAUCCUAAGGUGAGCGAGAGAACUCUCGUUAAGGAACUCGGCAAAAUGACCCCGUAACUUCGGGAGAAGGGGUGCUCUAUUAGGGUGCAAGCCCGAGAGAGCCGCAGUGAAUAGGCCCAGGCGACUGUUUAGCAAAAACACAGGUCUCUGCAAAACCGUAAGGUGACGUAUAGGGGCUGACGCCUGCCCGGUGCUGGAAGGUUAAGAGGAGUGCUUAGCUUCGGCGAAGGUACGAAUUGAAGCCCCAGUAAACGGCGGCCGUAACUAUAACGGUCCUAAGGUAGCGAAAUUCCUUGUCGGGUAAGUUCCGACCCGCACGAAAGGCGCAACGAUCUGGGCACUGUCUCAACGAGAGACUCGGUGAAAUUAUAGUACCUGUGAAGAUGCAGGUUACCCGCGACAGGACGGAAAGACCCCGUGGAGCUUUACUGCAACCUGAUAUGGAAUGUUUGUACCGCUUGUACAGGAUAGGUAGGAGCCGAAGAGACGUGUGCGCUAGCAUACGAGGAGGCAAUGGUGGGAUACUACCCUGGCUGUAUGACCAUUCUAACCCGCCACGCUUAGCGCGUGGGGAGACAGUGUCAGGUGGGCAGUUUGACUGGGGCGGUCGCCUCCUAAAGAGUAACGGAGGCGCCCAAAGGUUCCCUCAGAAUGGAUGGAAAUCAUUCGCAGAGUGUAAAGGCACAAGGGAGCUUGACUG
rnacentral:rRNA from 1 species